rnacentral:rRNA from 1 species
AACGUAGGAAGCGAGCGUUAUCCGGAUUUACUGGGCGUAAAGCGCGUGUAGGCGGUUUCGAAAGUUGGAUGUUAAAGCUCCUGGCUUAACUGGGAGAGGUCGUUCAAUACUACGAGACUAGAGGAUGGGAGAGGGAAGCGGAAUUCCGGGUGUAGUGGUGAAAUGCGUAGAUAUCCGGAGGAACACCAGUGGCGAAAGCGGCUUCCUGGCCCAUAACUGACGCUCAGACGCGAAAGCUAGGGGAGCGAACGGG